rnacentral:rRNA from 1 species
UACAGAGGGUGCGAGCGUUAAUCGGAAUUACUGGGCGUAAAGGGUGCGUAGGUGGUUAUGUAAGUCAGAUGUGAAAUCCCUGGGCUCAACCUAGGAAUUGCGUUUGAGACUGCAUAGCUAGAGUGCAGUAGAGGGAAGUGGAAUUUCCGGUGUAGCGGUGAAAUGCGUAGAUAUCGGAAGGAACAUCAGUGGCGAAGGCGACUUCCUGGACUGUAACUGACACUGAGGCACGAAAGCGUGGGGAGCGAACAGG